UUCCCUGUGGCUCAGUUGGUAGAGCAUGGUGUUUGCAACACCAGCAUAGUGUGUGCCUUGCCAGGGUUGUGGGUUCAAUUCCCACAGGGAGC
rfam:Salmo salar isolate Sally breed double haploid chromosome ssa13, whole genome shotgun sequence.